rnacentral:rRNA from 1 species
UACAGAGGGUGCGAGCGUUGUCCGGAAUCACUGGGCGUAAAGGGCGCGUAGGCGGCGAGCCAAGUCGGUGGUGAAAGCUCGAUGCUCAACAUCGAGUCGGCCAUCGAAACUGGUUUGCUUGAGCACUGUAGGGGCAGAUGGAAUUCCGGGUGUAGCGGUGGAAUGCGUAGAGAUCCGGAAGAACACCGGUGGCGAAGGCGGUCUGCUGGGCAGUUGCUGACACUGAGGCGCGACAGCGUGGGGAGCAAACAGG